rnacentral:pre_miRNA from 1 species
UCAGAGUUUUCUGAACUCUCUCCCUCAAUGGCUGCUCAUGUAGCUAUGCUGCUAUAAUUGCAGCUUAAUUAAAGAGCAGCUUUGGGGGUUUGAGUUCAGAUAACUCUGG